rnacentral:rRNA from 1 species
UACGUAGGGUGCGAGCGUUAAUCGGAAUUACUGGGCGUAAAGCGUGCGCAGGCGGUUUUGUAAGCCAGAUGUGAAAUCCCCGGGCUUAACCUGGGAAUGGCAUUUGGGACUGCAAGGCUCGAGUGCGGCAGACGGAGACUGGAAUUCCUGGUGUAGCAGUGAAAUGCGUAGAUAUCAGGAGGAACACCGAUGGCGAAGGCAGGUCUCUGGGCUGACACUGACGCUCAUGCACGAAGCGUG